rnacentral:rRNA from 1 species
CCACCCUUUAAUGUUUGAUGUUCUAACGUUGGCCCCUGAUCGGGGUUGCGGACAGUGUCUGGUGGGUAGUUUGACUGGGGCGGUCUCCUCCUAAAGAGUAACGGAGGAGCACGAAGGUUGGCUAAUCCUGGUCGGACAUCAGGAGGUUAGUGCAAUGGCAUAAGCCAGCUUGACUGCGAGCGUGACGGCGCGAGCAGGUGCGAAAGCAGGUCAUAGUGAUCCGGUGGUUCUGAAUGGAAGGGCCAUCGCUCAACGGAUAAAAGGUACUCCGGGGAUAACAGGCUGAUACCGCCCAAGAGUUCAUAUCGACGGCGGUGUUUGGCACCUCGAUGUCGGCUCAUCACAUCCUGGGGCUGAAGUAGGUCCCAAGGGUAUGGCUGUUCGCCAUUUAAAGUGGUACGCGAGCUGGGUUUAGAACGUCGUGAGACAGUUCGGUCCCUAUCUGCCGUGGGCGCUGGAGAACUGAGGGGGGCUGCUCCUAGUACGAGAGGACCGGAGUGGACGCAUCACUGGUGUUCGGGUUGUCAUGCCAAUGGCACUGCCCGGUAGCUAAAUGCGGAAGAGAUAAGUGCUGAAAGCAUCUAAGCACGAAACUUGCCCCGAGAUGAGUUCUCCCUGAGACUUUAAGUCUCCUGAAGGAACGUUGAAGACGACGACGUUGAUAGGCCGGGUGUGUAAGCGCAGCGAUGCGUUGAGCUAACCGGUACUAAUGAACCGUGAGG